rnacentral:misc_RNA from 1 species
AUUUUAGAACCUUGAGAAAUCUUUUGAUCUGCUAUUGGCUUAAGCCCAUAAUAACCUUGCAAAGAACUCAUGGCUGGAGAAACCUUCCGCUGUGAAGACUUGAGACUCAAGGAUUUGAAACUGUCAAUGAGAUCCAGACAGGGUGAAGUCUGCUGAGAACUACAGUGUCUUGAAGUAUCAGAACCAUUCGAUAAGCAAGGAGAGGGUGGAUGCCUUCCAGGCAGCGGAAUCUGGAGUGACUUGAGAGCAAACAUUUGAAGAUCUGUGACCAGGCCAUUCAUUUUUUUAAUGUCGGUAACCUCAACACCAUACUUGAUGGCGACGCCGGCAAGAGUAUCCAACCUGGAAACGGGGUGGUGAAUGAAGCCAAGACCACCAGGAGGAGCUGUGGUUGUGGUCGAGGUUGACGAAGAUGAAAAGGGGAAGGGGUAAAUAUUUGUGGAUGAGAUUAGAAAAGAAUUAUCAUCAUUAUUAUUGUGUUGAUGAGCAUCACCAUUGCAGCAGAUGGUGGGUGGAUCAAGGAGCUUCUCCCCUUCUCCAUUGUCAAAAUCGUUACAAAAUUGACUAUACUUACAAUUGCCAUUGACCCUUUGCCGUUGCAUCUCCAUCUGCAUAAUAUCAUAAUAAUUCGAUCAGAAAAUUGCAAGUUUGAGGUUUUUGUGGGAUGAGAGAGGCGUCGCUGUUUGGGCUCUUUCCUUGCCUUGCCUGUUUU